UCGCUUGCACGGAGCUCCUGAGGUGAUUAUUUCUGAUAGGGCUCCACAAUUUGUGUCACGCUUUUGGAAACACUUCCAUGAGUGCUUAGGUACCAAGUUAAACGUCUCCUCAGCAUUUCAUCCACAGACGGAUGGCCAAUCGGAACGGGUUAAUGGGCUGUUAGAGCAAUAUUUACGUUGUUUUUGUUUAGAUCAACCCACUGCUUGGGUGAAAUGGCUACCGGUGGCGGAGUUCGCUUACAACAACGCAGUGCACACGUCUAGUCAGCAUACGCCGUUUGAACUAACUUAUGGUUUUCAUCCACGGGGAGGUGUGGCGCCGUCGACCAAUGUGGUCUCCGCUGACCCAGUGUACCGCUCCUCAGAGAUGGCUGCGUUGCAUGAUGUUGCCCGUCGCUUACUGUUGGAAGCUAAGGCAACGCAAAAGACUCAGGCCGACCGUCGUAGGCAGGCAGGGGAGGAGUUGGAAGAAGGGGAUUUGGUGUGGUUGUCUUCCAAGCACAUUAAACAGGCUGGGGGAAAGUUUGCGCCUCGGUAUUUGGGUCCCUUUCCUAUAGUUAAAAAGAUCUCUUCCGUUGCGUUUCGCUUGCGUUUACCAUCUAGCUUAAAGAUCCAUCCAGUUUUCCAUCGUUCGCUGUUAAAACUAGAUACCUCCAGUCGUCGUGGUGCCAUAGCGGAGGAUAUCACUGCCACCUCUCCGUCUUCGGGGGAGGAGGCCUUUGUGAGAGGGGAUAGUGUUAUGAUUGAGCCUCAUGGCUCUGCUACUGGGAAGCGUGGGCGUAAGACUCCUCGAGAGUCAGAUACUCUCGAGGAGCGAGAAAGAAAGAGGCUGCGAGAUAUCUUUGCAGAACCAUCUGACGAGGAUUCUUUUGAGGGGUUUACAGAGAGAAUGGAGGAAGAGGUGGUGAGCUCGGAAGAGGAUGAGAUGGAUUGGACUCGGGUAAGGGAGGAAUUGGGUGCCACUGGCAAUGAUGGGAUGGAAGAUGAUUGGGGACCUUCAGGACUAGACCCAUGGACAAGCUGGAGGGAUGGGACGGGAUCCACAGCUGGGGAUGCUGUGGGGCGUAGUCAGAGGUGUUCCAGCUCUGAUGAGGAAAGUGAUGAGGAAACGCCCGGGUUAAGGAGGGCAGCUGAUAGUGAUGAGGACUUGUAACUGGCAUAAAAUGGGGUUUGGGAGCAAUUGCAAAUUGCGUUGGGCAAGGUAAUCUGGACGAACGCUUGGGAUCUGUGUGGGACGUUUUCCUGAAGACGGGUGUGUUUCGUGUGCUGACUACCUUUGACCUUCCGUCGUCUUCUUGACGGACGCCAUCUGCUACUCUGGAUUUACGGACUGAACUGACUACGGGCUCGGAUUCUCCUACCUGGACUUGGUGAACUACAAACGUCUGCUUCUGCCUUACGACCUUCGGAAAGAACUGGGACUACGCUACUGCUUCAAUCCUCGGCUGUUGUGUUUGUAUUGGAACCUUGCCUGCUGUGUGGAGGAGUAACUUCUAAGUUACUCAAAACAUAGUGCUGGCAGCAGAGAAGCAUCUGCUGCCAAUUAGUUACAUUCUUUUGAACUCUUUGUUCACCAGUUUCUGUUUUGUUUAUUCUCAGGCUGAAGCAAGCUGUUUUGAUUUUGUCCGGAUUAAACUCCGGUUUAAUCCGGUUUAUCUUUUGAAUGUUUUUCUUGCCCCUUUUUGCUUUUUAAGGCCAGUGUUGCCUAGCCCUUGUCUUUUACGGGCAUUUUGAGUUCUGUAAAUCCAAUAAACUCUGUUAUCUUUGA